AUCAUCAGAGUUCUCUUCCGCUGGCAUGGGUGU
rnacentral:sRNA from 1 species